CCUCAAUCCAAACACUCUAUUAUCAUUUCUACCUCCGUCCUUCUGCUUUUCCCCUCGCUAUCUGCUCUCGGAGCUGCCAGACAUUCAAGUAUGAAGUAAGAGAUCUCCCUUAAGGCAGCCCUAAGCAGGCUAGGUAAAGGGAGAAACUUUAUAAACAGAUCCGUUUGUCGAAGACCGGAUGGGCUAACAAGGACGGGAACCCCUCUCAACACUGCGGGUCAAGUCCUUUCGUUUAGAAGGAGAUCUAUCGGGCUUCAGUAGCGACACCUUCAAUUAAUUUAAGAGGGAUCAAAUCUAUUUACCAUAUGUUCGAUCUAUUAACUGAUCUGGAUGGCUCUUCCAUUUCUCCCCCUUAAGUGAACUCUGGAAAUUUGUGGCAGAUUUCGCUAAACCCUUCCUCUUGGGCAUAGAGUUUUUGGGGAAUUAUUAUUUAAGACAACUGACAAUAUAAUUUAUGAUGAUUAAGCUGAAAAGUUUGCGCAAGAGUGGAAUUGAGCAAUAUGACCGUAUCAGUGGAAAUGCCAUUGGGGAAGAUGUAUCAAUGGACCCUCCUAUUGUGGUUAAAGAGGAAGGAAAAGAAGAAGAAGGUGACUAAGAUCACUACUUGUCAGAAAAUGAAGCAAAAUAUGACUAUAACAACUCUCCAUGAGGCGAUUUUCUUCAACAUUCUUACAUGGCUGCCUGCCCAAUACCUUUAUGAUUCAUUGAGUGGGCGUUGAUAAAUCAUGGAGAGUCAUUGAGUACAGCCUUAAACGUGAGUGUCCUACGUUACCGGCAGUGAAGGUUGGUCCAUUUUCCGUUGGAAAGUUUAUCUUCUGGACCGAAACACCUAACUUGACGACGAUGAGGCUCAUAGCUAUGGUCAUGGACAAUGAAAGCAUUCAUCUGGUUCGAAGUCCACUUGGACAUCAUAAUCGGUCUGGUUAUAUAAGCAUGGGGAAUGAUCUAUCUUGUGUAAGGUAUGAGAAUUCCAUGCAUUACAUGCACAUUUUGACAGAUGUGAACUCGGGAACAUGGGUUUUGAGUCACAAGUUUGCAAUUACAUUACCACCUGAAUUUGGUUUUCCUUCUUGCAUAUGUAUGAGAUUCAUUUGCUGCUUGGGCAAUAGUCAAGAACUGAUACUUCGGGUAGAAGAGCGCUAUUUUGCAUUCAGUUUGAAGACGCAACAGUUGAGGUGCAUUGACAACUACUUCUUCGGUUGGAGUUCCUUUGCAGUUGUUCACACCAACAACUUAGUUUCUUGGUAAACAUAAUUGUGAUGGGAGUCCUCUAUUUACUAUUUAUUGUAUCUCAGCUCGAUUUUAUGUAAUUCUGAAUUAUUUGAUGUUCAAGAUUAGAUUCGAGAAUUGUCUCUUGUGAUGCCAUUGUGUUGUGACAAUCUUCUUUGAUUGGAGUUCCUAAUCGCUCUCGAGUCUCGACGGUGACCCUCUUCUUGGAUUCGGCACAAGCAGAUGGUCUUUUUGCGCUCAAAGUUUCUUCCACACUACAGCAAUGUCGGACGGAGAAAUUCGGAGAGGAAAAGAUUGAGGAAGAAGCAAUAACUCAGUUAUAUCAAACACUGGGAGCUGCAGUACUUGAAGACAUUGUUUUUAAGGAUUCUUGUGGGAAAUGAAUUGAACAGAGGAUAAAUGGAAGAGGACGUAAUCAAGCCACAGAUCAGACUCAGAGAGAGAAAUCUUCAACCUUGCAGGACCUUUCCACCUAACAUCAGUCGACUGGAAAAAUUUCCACGAUAGAAGAUCCAUAGCUGCAAGCUUAGUACAAGGAGUGUACAUCCUAGAACGCGAUUGCCAGCAGAACCACCUUGGGCCUCAAUAUAAACGGUGUUUGAUGGAUGAAAGGGCUUAAGUGCCCAAAAAAUUGUAUUUGUAUUUUGAUGGUUUGUAUGAAUCCAAUGAUUUAUUAAAAUUGUAUAUUUGUAUUU